GAGGAAGGAAGGGGGGGAAUGGGAUGGAGGAGCGGGAGGGAGGCGAAGCAGAAGUCCGCGUAGACUUGAGGGCAGAGGGAACACUCUCUGGGUGAAGGAUUAGACUGGGCGUCCUGAAGGCCCUUCCAGCCUUCACUCGGUGAGGCAUUUCAUCCAUUCAUCUAUCUACCCACCCUUCCAUCAUCCAUCCACCCAUUCAGCGUCCCUCCAUCCACCAUCAUGCAUUCAUCCAUACAUCAUCCACCCAUCAUCCGCCCAUCCAUCCAUCCAUCCAUCCACCCAUUCAGCGUCCCUCCAUCCACCAUCAUGCAUUCAUCCAUACAUCAUCCACCCAUCAACCGUCCAUCCAUCCAUCCAUCCAUCCAUCCACCCAUUCAUCCACCCAUCAUCCAUCCACCCAUUCAGCGUCCCUCCAUCCACCAUCAUCCAUUCAUCCAUACAUCAUCCACCCAUCAUCCGCCCAUCCAUCCAUCCAUCCGUCCAUCCACCCAUUCAUCCACCCAUCAUCCAUCCACCCAUUCAGCAUCCCUCCAUCCAUCCAUCCAUCAUCCAUUCAUCCAUCCACCCACCCAUCCACCUGUACAUCAUCCAUCCCUCAUCCAUCAUCCAUCUAUCACCCAUCCAUCCAUCCACCCAUCAUCCAUCCACCCAUUCAGCAUCCCUCCAUCUAUCCAUUAUCCAUCCAUCCAUCAUCCAUUUGUCCAUCCAUCAUCCACCCAUCAUCCGUCCAUCCAUCCAUCCAUCCAUCCACCCAUUCAUCCACCCAUCAUCCAUCCACCCAUUCAGCAUGCCUCCAUCCAUCCAUUAUCCAUCCAUCCAUCCAUCCAUCAUCCAUUCAUCCAUCCACCCACUCAUCCACCUGUACAUCAUCCAUCCAUCAUCCAUCCAUCACCCAUCCAUCCAUCCACCCAUCAUCCAUCCACCCAUUCAGCAUCCCUCCAUCUAUCCGUUAUCCAUCCAUCCAUCAUCCACCCAUCAUCCUUCUGUCCAUCCACCUACCAUCCUCCUGUCCAUCAUCCAUCAUCCAUCCAUCAUCCAUCUGUCUACCCACCAAUCAUCUAUUCACCA
rnacentral:lncRNA from 1 species